GAUGAAGAACGUAGUGAAAUGCGAUAAGUAGUGUGAAUUGCAGAAUUCAGUGAAUCAUCGAAUCUUUGAACGCACAUUGCGCCCCUUGGUAUUCCAUGGGGCAUGCCUGUUCGAGUGUCAUUUGUACCCUCAAGCUAAGCUUGGUGUUGGGUGUUUGUCCACUCCCUCGUGUUUGGACUCGCCUUAAAACAAUUGGCAGCCAGUGUUUUGGUAUUGAAGCGCAGCACAAUUUGCGAUUCUAGCCUAGAAUACUAGCAUCCAUCAAGUCAUUUUUAACGCUUGACCUCGGAUCAGGUAGGGAUACCCGCUGAACUUAAGCAUAUCAAUAAGCGGAGGA
rnacentral:misc_RNA from 1 species